GCUGUGAACGUAUGUGCUGUGCAUUUUUAUGUAAAAUCUAAACAAAAUAAUGUGGUCGCACGUAGAAAGUUAAGUGUUAUACAAAGUCGGAUAAAACUGUUUGUCCCUACACCGAGUGCUUUCACCCUACGUAGCGCAAGUAUGAAAAAAAAAAGCAAAAAGUCGAGCAUUGAAAAAGGAGUAUUUGUGGGAGCACGAUAUCAAAUUCGCCGUCCUUUUUAACAGCUAACACAAUGAAUGAACAUUGCAACGUCAAAUUUUCAGAAGAAUUCAGGUUAUGUGACGGUCUAAAAACAGACAAACUUGGUCUAAAAUCUUCAGUAGGAUGAGUUAAAAAAUGUUUUACUUUAAAGAAAUUUGCCCUACUUGGGGUAAGAUAACAAAAUAUCUGUUAUUCGGCAGCGUGAAAUAAACAGUAACAUUUCGUGCAAUGCCUACAGGAAACGGACAUGUGCGAAUCAUAACAAAACAGAUUCAGCGGCCUACUGAGAAAGCGAAAGGGAAGCAGAUCUACACGAGAAAGCCCAUAAAAUUUAUUGGGAUGUUACUGGUGUGCCAUAUAUGAUAUUAGGAAGAAGGUAUUUGGAUUGCCACUAUGGGAAAGAUCGACAGAAAUUAAAAAAACAAAAGUUAAAGAAGAAUUUUCAUCAAAAGUCCUUAACUCUCCUCAAAUUUAUUCUAUAAAAAGAGUGGCAGCCGUGGCCAAUUUCAGGUAGGUUGUACUUCUUUUAUUUUACCGUUUUUUAGCUGUAUCUACGUCAUUCUUUAAAUUAUUAUUGCAGUUAAUCCAAUGCUCCUGCAUUUCCUGCAAUAAUAAAACUUAAUAAAGAUUUCAAAAACCGGAAUAACUUGUUCUAAGC